GGGUGACUAGUGAGAGUGAGGAAGGGGGUGACACAGUGAAAGAGUGAGGAAGGGGGUGACACAGUGAGGAAGGGGGUGACACAGUGACAGAGUGAAGGGGGUGGUGACUGUCACUAGUCACCCCAUCCCUCCCUCUGUCACUAAUCACCACCUCCCUCACUCUGUCACUAGUCACCCCUUCCCUCCCUCACUCUGUCACUAGUCACCCCCUCCCUCUCUCUGUCACUAGUCACCCC